GGGAUUGGAGGAUUGGAGGAAAGACGAACCCAUGUCGGGCGGACGUGAGCGCUUGUCCACCACUCAGACCUGAGGGUGAAGAUGCUGAAUUUAUUGAAACCUCCUUUCUCUUCCCUCUCUGCUAACGAGGAGACCAAGAAAAGCACAUUAUUAUCUCGCUUAACACCUAAAAUGAUUUGGGGGCAGCGUGGCGGCUCUGGAGGUGGGGGAAGGCAAUCCUGGGUUCUGGCCAGGCAGCCGCCGCCCCCACCGCCCCGAUGGCUUCACUUUUGUGUGUCUUCGCAAAGGGAUGCUUAGUAAGACAGUAAACCACAAAAAAGUGAUAAGAAGGGAGAAAUUCGGAAAAGUCUCUAUGUGAACAGCAAGAGAAAUUCGAACACGAAUGCCUUAAAAACACAUCUAUGUCGGUAUUACCUGCUGAAGAUGGGGAUAAUAAAGUGUCAUUCUCAAGACUAAUUCUCCUUCAUUUGCACCCUCCAAAUCAGACUGUCCAUGGAGUCAGCUAUUUAGUUAUUUGCUUAAACGUGUUGACAGAAAGAACGAAAAUGGGUUGCAAAGAUGGUACACUCGAUGCUGCCCAGGACAUGGUGAUAUUGGAGUUGGUGCAGAAUCGGUUCUUCAGCCUUUAA
rnacentral:lncRNA from 1 species